AUAAUAUUAAAUUAAAUCAUGAAUAUUUAUUAAAGAAUGUGUACAUUUGAAUAUACAUGUUUGAGUUAAAGUGCAUUCAGUAAAUCACUUUUAUUUUUACACCAUCAACCGAGAGCUCUCCAUGAAAGCUUUUACUCCACGUACUUCAUCUCUUCUUGAGGUAUUACGUCUUCUGCAUCAUCUUAUGCAACCAUUCACAGGAAGAACAUUGCUACAAUGUUUGCAUUAUCUUUUUGGUCCCACAAGCCAAAAAAAAUUUAAAAAAAACCUUUAAAACCUAUGGGUUUGUAAAUCCAAGUGGCUUCUGUUAAUUCUAAUCAAUGUAUGUGUACCAUAAUCAGAAGAUACAUGUGUGAAAGAGAAGAAAAUCUAUCCUUAGGACAUCAGAGAGCAACAAUAACAGCAAAAUCAAUUUAAGCCAGUGAGUGAACCACAGCUUUUAGAGAAACGAAGGAUUCUGUUUCUGGAAUGAGAAAUGUUCAAGAUGAGCCUGGAAUAUCAUGCCAUGCCAGGAAGUAAAGAGACUUUCAAAACCUGUGGAGUUGUAUCAAAAGAACUAAGGUGUAAUUUAACGAGUCUUUCACUUGUCAAGAUAAUGAAUUUAUACAUGAGUGGAAACAGUAACUGUAAUGAUUGGAAUAUAUAAAAUGUAUUAAUUUCCAUGAAUUCAUAAUAAUAAUAAAGAUAAAAUGGAUUGGAUCAACUUUGUUGGAUGCUGUAACAAUGAAUUUUAGCAAAAAGUGAUAAAGAAAUGUAUCAAACUGCAUUUUCCAAGACGAUAG
rnacentral:lncRNA from 10 species